rnacentral:rRNA from 1 species
GACGAACGCUGGCGGCGUGCCUAAUACAUGCAAGUCGAGCGAGCUUGCCUAGAUGAAUUUGGUGCUUGCACCAGAUGAAACUAGAUACAAGCGAGCGGCGGACGGGUGAGUAACACGUGGGUAACCUGCCCAAGAGACUGGGAUAACACCUGGAAACAGAUGCUAAUACCGGAUAACAACACUAGACGCAUGUCUAGAGUUUAAAAGAUGGUUCUGCUAUCACUCUUGGAUGGACCUGCGGUGCAUUAGCUAGUUGGUAAGGCAACGGCUUACCAAGGCAAUGAUGCAUAGCCGAGUUGAGAGACUGAUCGGCCACAUUGGGACUGAGACACGGCCCAAACUCCUACGGGAGGCAGCAGUAGGGAAUCUUCCACAAUGGACGCAAGUCUGAUGGAGCAACGCCGCGUGAGUGAAGAAGGGUUUCGGCUCGUAAAGCUCUGUUGGUAGUGAAGAAAGAUAGAGGUAGUAACUGGCCUUUAUUUGACGGUAAUUACUUAGAAAGCCACGGCUAACUACGU